GGCCGCGUAGUGUAGUGGUUAGCACGCAGGAUUUGUAAGUUUACUAUUUCGAGUUAUCGACUUAGUGUUCGUAUUCUAACAGGCUAUAGUGAUAAUGUCAAGAUUUCCUGAGACCUGAGUUCAAUCCUCGGCGGGGCCU